AACGAACGCUGGCGGCAUGCCUAACACAUGCAAGUCGAACGAGACCUUCGGGUCUAGUGGCGCACGGGUGCGUAACGCGUGGGAACCUGCCCUUAGGUUCGGAAUAACUCCCCGAAAGGGGUGCUAAUACCGGAUAAUGUCUUCGGACCAAAGAUUUAUCGCCUUUGGAUGGGCCCGCGUUGGAUUAGCUAGUUGGUAGGGUAAAAGCCUACCAAGGCGACGAUCCAUAGCUGGUCUGAGAGGAUGAUCAGCCACACUGGGACUGAGACACGGCCCAGACUCCUACGGGAGGCAGCAGUGGGGAAUAUUGGACAAUGGGCGAGAGCCUGAUCCAGCAAUGCCGCGUGAGUGAUGAAGGCCUUAGGGUUGUAAAGCUCUUUUACCCGGGAUGAUAAUGACAGUACCGGGAGAAUAAGCACCGGCUAACUCCGUG
rnacentral:rRNA from 1 species